rfam:Triticum aestivum genome assembly, contig: Triticum_aestivum_CS42_TGACv1_scaffold_641942_T_3DS-0.075410_1BL-0.072118
AUUCUACUCCCUCCGUCCGGAUAUACUUGUCACAGAAAUGCAUAAAAAUGGAUGUAUCUAGAAUUAAAAUACGUCUAGAUACAUCCAUUCCUCCGACAAGUAUUUUCGGACGGAGGGAGUAUUUU